rnacentral:rRNA from 1 species
CCUACGGGAGGCUGCAGUGGGGAAUAUUGCACAAUGGGCGAAAGCCUGAUGCAGCAACGCCGCGUGAGCGAUGAAGGCCUUCGGUUCGUAAAGCUCUUUCCUCAAGGAAGAUAAUGACGGUACUUUAGGAGGAAGCCCCGGCUAACUACGUGCCAGCAGCCGCGGUAAUACGUAGGGGGCUAGCGUUAUCCGGAAUUACUGGGCGUAAAGGGUGCGUAGGUGGUUUCUUAAGUCAGAGGUGAAAGGCUAGGGCUCAACCGUAGUAAGCCUUUGAAACUGGGGAACUUGAGUGCAGGAGAGGAGAGUGGAAUUCCUAGUGGAGCGGUGAAAUGCGUAGAUAUUAGGAGGAACACCAGUUGCGAAGGCGGCUCUCUGGACUGUAACUGACACUGAGGCACGAAAGCGUGGGGAGCAAACAGGAUUAGAUACCCUGGUAGUC